GGACACAGACUCGUGUUGUGUUGAUAAGACGGGGGAUCGUGCAAAGGGCAGAGAACAGUUCUUCAUUCAUCGAGCUGAUUUACACGCCAUUUCGUUCUUAAAACCUGGCGCCUAUAGACGCAACAGAGACAUUGCCAAUACUGGACAAAAUCCAUGCAACGGCAGUAGAAAUCAUCACCAAUUUUAAUGGAUAUCAAACGACACUGGAUAAGUCCUGAAGAAAUCUGGUUCCGUAGAGCUUUUGGUGGAUCCCUUACUGUCUGAGGUCCAUCCUGCGAUGCAUGUGAGUUGUGGACGCUCCUUGGGCAGCAGAGAGCGCGGCUUCUCGCCCUCCGAGAGCCAUUCUCCAUUCCGGGUCUUUGCGGCGUCCUGCUUCUCCGGAGUUUCACCGUAGCAGUGGCGCUGCAGAAGACUGUCAGGUACGUGCGGUGCAGAUCCAGCUUUUCUCUCCACACUCUUCCCUCAUCUCUUCCCCCUUUCCACUUCAAAGUAGCUAUAGCAGAUCUCGCCGGGAGUCCCAUGGUGGAGCGGGGCGCUUACUGGGGAUCUCUCUUUGCCGUUGCACUUUGCACUGUUUUUACAUUUGCCACACUCGAGGGAUACGAGCUGGACUGGGACGACUUAGUCCAUUGGCGGCGGACCACAGUUCCAGCGCUCCCUCCCCCCC